UAAUUUUUAACAUUGACUUGAUUCUGUAGGAGAACAAUCUUUUGGAUGAUAGAAUAUUAAGCAGGGUUCUGAGCAUCCCGGUUUGUAGAUCGUGGUACAGGCAGACGGUCAAUUUAUCUAGGUUGCCAGUAAAGAGGUAAGAAUCCUUGUAUGCCGAUCUGCAGGAUAUAAAUAUUUUUGUAUAUAUAUAUGAUCUAGAUAAGUAAGAAGCAAAAAUAGUUUUAUAUUAAGUUAUAUUUUGAUCAUAUUUGCUUGUGAUUGGUAUUUUAAUGGAUGUAUGUAUGCGCAUAACCUACACUUGUAUAAUCGGACUAAUGGAUGUGGUACUCUCGAUUAACCAUGCUAUAUUGGUUGUUCCGACACAAGCUGAAAAUGUAACUAUGGUUAGUCUAAAGCUGAAAAUAAAUAAAAAAAUUGAGGUGUAGAUAUGGAUCGGAUUGAAUAAACAAGGACUUUAGGCUUACCUCGUUAUUAUGGCAGGCAACAUCACAGGUUGGAAAUGUGGUACUUUGGUAGGCCUCAUCACAAGCUAUAAAUGUGGAACUAAAAUUGGCAAGCUCUACCACAGGCUGGAAAUGUGAUAUUUUGGCAGGCUCUAUCAGAGGCUGUGAAUGUAGAACUAAAAUUGCCAGGCCCCGCCACAGGCUGAAAA
rnacentral:lncRNA from 1 species